GGUUAAGCGACUAAGCGUACACGGUGGAUGCCCUGGCAGUCAGAGGCGAUGAAGGACGUGCUAAUCUGCGAUAAGCGUCGGUAAGGUGAUAUGAACCGUUAUAACCGGCGAUUUCCGAAUGGGGAAACCCAGUGUGAUUCGUCACACUAUCAUUAACUGAAUCCAUAGGUUAAUGAGGCGAACCGGGGGAACUGAAACAUCUAAGUACCCCGAGGAAAAGAAAUCAACCGAGAUUCCCCCAGUAGCGGCGAGCGAACGGGGAGGAGCCCAGAGCCUGAAUCAGUGUGUGUGUUAGUGGAAGCGUCUGGAAAGGCGCGCGAUACAGGGUGACAGCCCCGUACACAAAAAUGCACAUGCUGUGAGCUCGAUGAGUAGGGCGGGACACGUGGUAUCCUGUCUGAAUAUGGGGGGACCAUCCUCCAAGGCUAAAUACUCCUGACUGACCGAUAGUGAACCAGUACCGUGAGGGAAAGGCGAAAAGAACCCCGGCGAGGGGAGUGAAAAAGAACCUGAAACCGU
rnacentral:rRNA from 1 species